AGAGUUUGAUCAUGGCUCGGAACGAACGCUGGCGGCAGGCCUAACACAUGCAAGUCGAGCGAUCCCUUCGGGGGUAGCGGCGGACGGGUGAGUAACGCGUGGGAACGUGCCCUGGGGUAAGGAACAACCGCUGGAAACGGCGGCUAAUACCUUAUGAUGUCCGAAAGGACCAAAGAUUUAUCGCCCUUGGAUCGGCCCGCGUUGGAUUAGGUAGUUGGUGGGGUAAUGGCCUACCAAGCCGACGAUCCAUAGCUGGUUUGAGAGGAUGACCAGCCACACUGGGACUGAGACACGGCCCAGACUCCUACGGGAGGCAGCAGUGGGGAAUCUUAGACAAUGGGCGCAAGCCUGAUCUAGCCAUGCCGCGUGAGCGAUGAAGGCCUUAGGGUUGUAAAGCUCUUUCACCGGGGAAGAUAAUGACGGUACCCGGAGAAGAAGCCCCGGCUAACUCCGUGCCAGCAGCCGCGGUAAUACGGAGGGGGCUAGCGUUGUUCGGAAUUACUGGGCGUAAAGCGCGCGUAGGCGGGCUGUUAAAUCGGGGGUGAAAUCCCGGGGCUCAACCCCGGAACUGCCUCCGAUACUGGCAGCCUAGAGGUCGAGAGAGGUGAGUGGAAUUCCGAGUGUAGAGGUGAAAUUCGUAGAUAUUCGGAGGAACACCAGUGGCGAAGGC
rnacentral:rRNA from 1 species